CGUAGGUGGCAAGCGUUGUCCGGAAUUAUUGGGCGUAAAGCGCGCGCAGGCGGUCCUUUAAGUCUGACGUGAAAUCUCCGGGCCUAACCCGGAAACUGCGUUGGAUACUAUUCAACUAGAGGAAUGGAGGGGAGACUGGAAUACUUGGUGUAGCAGUGAAAUGCGUAGAUAUCAAGUGGAACACCAGUGGCGAAGGCGAGUCUCUGGACAUUUCCUGACGCUGAGGCACGAAAGCCAGGGGAGCAAACGGGAUUAGAUACCCCGGUAGUCCUGGCCCUAAACGGUGCGCGUUUGCUGUAAGUGGAAUCGACCCCACUUGUGGCGUAGUUAACACGUUAAACGCGCCGCCUGGGAAGUACGGCCGCAAGGUUA
rnacentral:rRNA from 1 species